CGGACGGGUGAGUAACGCGUGAGUAACCUGCCUUACACAAGGGGAUAGCCGUUGGAAACGACGAAUAAUACCCUAUGACAUAAACUCUUCGCAUGAGGAACUUAUCAAAGAUUUAUCGGUGUAAGAUGGACUCGCGUCUGAUUAGCUAGUUGGUGAGGUAACGGCCCACCAAGGCGACGAUCAGUAGCCGGCUUGAGAGAGUGUACGGCCAACAUUGGGACUGAGACACGGCCCAGACUCCUACGGGAGGCAGCAGGC
rnacentral:rRNA from 1 species